AGACCUCACUCAUAUCCAAACUCACUCUUCCUCAGAUAAGGCUUCCUCUCCAAAUAAUAUAGAUCUUGAUAUGAUGACUGACAGAAGCAAACAACAAAAAGAGGAAGAAUAUAAGGAAAAUAUGGAGAUAAAAUUAAAGAAUAUCAAAUUGCCGGCUAGGAUGAAAAGACAGGGAAGACAUAAAAACUCUGAUCUUACAGUUAUAGGCUUAUCAAGAAAAUUUGAAAAAAAAAAUUGUUAACAAUAUAGAAAGUACCGAUAUAGAAAUUGCAUACCCACCAAAUUCGCAGAAAUAAUUUAUUAAUUUCUUAUUAAAAGAUAAAAU